UAAUACCGCAUAAACUAUUGAAGCUGCAUGGCUUUGAUAGCAAAGAUUUAUCGCUAUAGGAUGGACCCGCGUUGGAUUAGCUAGUUGGUGAGAUAACAGCCCACCAAGGCGACGAUCCAUAGCCGGCCUGAGAGGGUGAACGGCCACAUUGGGACUGAGACACGGCCCAAACUCCUACGGGAGGCAGCAGUGGGGAAUAUUGCACAAUGGGCGCAAGCCUGAUGCAGCGACGCCGCGUGAAGGAUGAAGGUCUUCGGAUUGUAAACUUCUAUCAGCAGGGAAGAAUAAAUGACGGUACCUGACUAAGAAGCACCGGCUAACUACGUGCCAGCAGCCGCGGUAAUACGUAGGGUGCGAGCGUUAUCCGGAAUUACUGGGUGUAAAGGGUGCGUAGGCGGCUAUGUAA
rnacentral:rRNA from 1 species